rnacentral:tRNA from 1 species
CACAUUUAGAAAUUCCAUUAUUAAUUAAAAAUUUAAAUUUAAAAUCAAUUUUAAUUAAAAUUUUAAUAUGGCAGAAUAAGUGCAUUGAACUUAAGAUUCAAAUAUAAAGUAUUUUUUAACUUUUAUUAAAAUUAAUAAAUUAAUAUAAAAUAUAAAUUAUAUUUAUUAAAAUUUAAUUUAUUAAAAUUUUCCACUUAAUUCAUUUUAAUUUAAAAAUAUAAUUAAAUAACAAUUUUUAAUAAAAUAAAUAAUUAAUUUUAUUUUUAUAUUGAAUUUUAAAUUCAAUCUUAAAGAUUUAAUCUUUUUAUUAAAAUUAAUAAAUUAAUAUAAAAAAUAAAACAAAAUAUAACAAAAUAUAUUUAUUAAAAUUUAAUUUAUUAAAAUUUCCCACUUAAUUCAUUUUAAUUUAAAAAUAAAUUAAAUAACAAUUUUUAAUAAAAUAAAUAAUUAAUUUUAUUUUUAUAUUGAAUUUUAAAUUCAAUCUUAAAGAUUUAAUCUUUUUAUUAAAAUUAAUAAAUUAAUAUAAAAAUAAAACAAAAUAUAACAAAAUAUAUUUAUUAAAAUUUAAUUUAUUAAAAUUUCCACAUGAUUCAUAUUUAU